GUCCCAGUAGCUCAGCUGGAUAGAGCGACAGCCUCCUAAGCUGUAGGUCGUGAGUUCGAAUCUCGCCUGGGACGCUA
rnacentral:tRNA from 3 species